rnacentral:Y_RNA from 1 species
GGUUGGUCCGAGUGCAGUGGUGUUAAUCACUAAUUGAUCACAACAGUUACAGAUUCUCUUGUUCCUUCUCCCUCCCACUGCUCCACUUGACAAGCCUUAA